GGCUUUUGGGUGGAGUCGACGGCUGAAGCAUGAAUAUUAGGGUUUGGUCUUGUAUUAUUACCAAGUAAAAACAAUAUCUCGAUCGGAGAUAAAGUUGUUGGUGGUCACAUGCGAGCACUAAAGAAUACGACAGAAAUAGUAAAUUAUAUACACCCACUUGCAUCAGUUUGCUUAUAUAAAUGCAACGAGCAUAAAUAGAUCAGUAUUCAUCAAGAUCUAAUGAUCUAUAUUGAGUUCAUGAGCUUCCCCUCUAAUGGCUUCCUCAAUCGAUUCUACAGCAAUACUUUUCAGAUGGCUUGUUUCUAUAAAGCUUUUGAUUGAAACCAAUUAUGACUGGUGGCCGGAAAUGAUGACGUGUGAUGGAGAGAGCCAUUGUAUAUUUAAAACCGCCAAGGAGAAUGGUGAUUCUAAAGAUAAGGUAGACCGGACUACCGUGGAGCUGAAGCUGUAAGCAUAAUGGAUCUAUCUUCCACUUCAAGAGCUUCUUUCAGCUACAAUAAAACCGGGAGUUGUUGAUUUUCUUGCAUUCAGUGGAGUUUGCAAGUCAGUCAGCAAAGUUUGCAAGUCACUCAGCGGAGUUUGCAAGUCAAAUAUCUAGAUUUGCUAGCUGGGUUUGUAAACUAUACUAUUUAACAACGGAGUUUGCAAGUCAUAGAUGUUAUUUGAAAUUUUUAAUAAAUCAUAUAGAUAUCUACAAGUUAACUAAUAUAUUAAUUAAUAUAGUUGGUUUGUUAUUUAUUUUUGGCUUGAAUAUGAGGUGUACAUUGUUUUUCAAAA